GACGAACGCUGGCGGCGUGCUUAACACAUGCAAGUCGAACGGAAGGGCCCUGCUUUUGUGGGGUGCUCGAGUGGCGAACGGGUGAGUAACACGUGAGUAACCUGCCCUUGACUUUGGGAUAACUUCAGGAAACUGGGGCUAAUACCGGAUAGGAGCUCCUGCUGCAUGGUGGGGGUUGGAAAGUUUCGGCGGUUGGGGAUGGACUCGCGGCUUAUCAGCUUGUUGGUGGGGUAGUGGCUUACCAAGGCUUUGACGGGUAGCCGGCCUGAGAGGGUGACCGGCCACAUUGGGACUGAGAUACGGCCCAGACUCCUACGGGAGGCAGCAGGGGGGAAUAUUGCACAAUGGGCGGAAGCCUGAUGCAGCAACGCCGCGUGCGGGAUGACGGCCUUCGGGUUGUAAACCGCUUUCGCCUGUGACGAAGCGUGAGUGACGGUAAUGGGUAAAGAAGCACCGGCUAACUACGUG
rnacentral:rRNA from 1 species